rnacentral:rRNA from 1 species
GACGAACGCUGGCGGCGUGCCUAAUACAUGCAAGUAGAACGCACAGUUUAUACCGUAGCUUGCUACACCAUAGACUGUGAGUUGCGAACGGGUGAGUAACGCGUAGGUAACCUGCCUGGUAGCGGGGGAUAACUAUUGGAAACGAUAGCUAAUACCGCAUAAUAUUAAUUAUUGCAUGAUAAUUAAUUGAAAGGUGCAAUUGCACCACUACCAGAUGGACCUGCGUUGUAUUAGCUAGUAGGUGAGGUAACGGCUCACCUAGGCGACGAUACAUAGCCGACCUGAGAGGGUGAUCGGCCACACUGGGACUGAGACACGGCCCAGACUCCUACGGGAGGCAGCAGUAGGGAAUCUUCGGCAAUGGACGAAAGUCUGACCGAGCAACGCCGCGUGAGUGAAGAGGGUUUUCGGAUCGUAAAGCCCUGUUGUAAGAGAAGAACGGGUGUGAGAGUGGAAAGUUCACACUGUGACGGUAUCUUACCAGAAAGGGACGGCUAACUACGUG